rnacentral:rRNA from 1 species
GAUGAACGCUAGCGGCAGGCUUAACACAUGCAAGUCGAGGGGUAGAGGUUGCUUGCAACCUUGAGACCGGCGCACGGGUGCGUAACGCGUAUGCAACCUACCUUUUACAGAGGGAUAGCCCAGAGAAAUUUGGAUUAAUACCUCAUAGUAUAUAGUCUUCGCAUGUUGGUUAUAUUAAAGUUCCAACGGUAAAAGAUGGGCAUGCGUCCUAUUAGCUAGAUGGUAAGGUAACGGCUUACCAUGGCAAAGAUAGGUAGGGGUCCUGAGAGGGAGAUCCCCCCACACUGGUACUGAGACACGGACCAGACUCCUACGGGAGGCAGCAGUGAGGAAUAUUGGACAAUGGGCGCAAGCCUGAUCCAGCCAUGCCGCGUGCAGGAAGAAGCAUCUAUGGUGUGUAAACUGCUUUUGUACAGGAAGAAACACCCCGACGUGUCGGGACUUGACGGUACUGUAAGAAUAAGGAUCGGCUAACUCCGUGCCAGCCGCCGCAGUAAUAC